rnacentral:rRNA from 2 species
UGCAGUCGAGCGAAUGGAUUAAGAGCUUGCUCUUAUGAAGUUAGCGGCGGACGGGUGAGUAACACGUGGGUAACCUGCCCAUAAGACUGGGAUAACUCCGGGAAACCGGGGCUAAUACCGGAUAACAUUUUGAACUGCAUGGUUCGAAAUUGAAAGGCGGCUUCGGCUGUCACUUAUGGAUGGACCCGCGUCGCAUUAGCUAGUUGGUGAGGUAACGGCUCACCAAGGCAACGAUGCGUAGCCGACCUGAGAGGGUGAUCGGCCACACUGGGACUGAGACACGGCCCAGACUCCUACGGGAGGCAGCAGUAGGGAAUCUUCCGCAAUGGACGAAAGUCUGACGGAGCAACGCCGCGUGAGUGAUGAAGGCUUUCGGGUCGUAAAACUCUGUUGUUAGGGAAGAACAAGUGCUAGUUGAAUAAGCUGGCACCUUGACGGUACCUAACCAGAAAGCCACGGCUAACUACGUGCCAGCAGCCGCGGUAAUACGUAGGUGGCAAGCGUUAUCCGGAAUUAUUGGGCGUAAAGCGCGCGCAGGUGGUUUCUUAAGUCUGAUGUGAAAGCCCACGGCUCAACCGUGGAGGGUCAUUGGAAACUGGGAGACUUGAGUGCAGAAGAGGAAAGUGGAAUUCCAUGUGUAGCGGUGAAAUGCGUAGAGAUAUGGAGGAACACCAGUGGCGAAGGCGACUUUCUGGUCUGUAACUGACACUGAGGCGCGAAAGCGUGUGGAGCAAACAGGAUUAGAUACCCUGGUAGUCCACGCCGUAAACGAUGAGUGCUAAGUGUUAGAGGGUUUCCGCCCUUUAGUGCUGAAGUUAACGCAUUAAGCACUCCGCCUGGGGAGUACGGCCGCAAGGCUGAAACUCAAAGGAAUUGACGGGGGCCCGCACAAGCGGUGGAGCAUGUGUUUAAUUCGAAGCAACGCGAAGAACCUUACCAGGUCUGACAUCCUCUGAAACCCUAGAG